CUUCCCUGAAGUUCCUGGAACCUGAGGCCAUCUGUGUGCCUCGGCCUGGACUCUGCCCUGAAAUCGCCCCCAUUUCUGCAUCAGGUGUCACAUCCUUCACGUUGUCUUUCCACCUUCUCGCCUCCUUCUCAUCAGGAUCCUUGUGACGAUGCUCAGGGCUGUCCAGGUAACCAGAGGAUCUUUGGUCUCAAGAUGCUCAACUUAAUCACACCUGCCAAGUGCACUCUACAGAAGGAAGGUGGGAGCAUCUGAACAGGCAGGUGCGUCUUCAGAGUCCUCGGAGAAGCCAUCUUGUUGGCGAGAUCCAGACCUGCAACAAGGCUGCUGCUCAACUAACACUUCUCAUCCACAUCUCUGUUGUUUUGCCAGCGUCUGGAGUCAUACUCACCACGUGCUCGGUGGAUUCUUUACCACGUGAGCCACCAGGGAAGCCCAUACGUAGAAGGUAAAAUUCAAUAUUUGUGAAGGGGCCAUGGCAAUUUGAUGUGAGUAAAGAUAAUUUUUUGGCCUGAUGGUGCUGGAAUGACUGGCUCAAUCAAUCAUGGGUUUUCAACAGGCAGUAUUUUUAGAAAUUUUUAGGGAUGAUUAGAGUUUGAGAGGUUUAAUAACGUGCUGAAGGUUGUCUAGACAAGAAUCCAAACCAGAACUGUUUGAGUCCAAAGUCUCUUUUCACCAUCAGGUUGGGUCCUACCGCAAAGCUGCUCUUUGCUGCUAUUUACUCUAUAAAAACACUCCCUUACAGAGUUGUGAACGCAGCGAGGGAAGGAGAGGAUGGGAUGAAGUGAAAGAGUAGCAUUGA